UACGUAGGGUGCGAGCGUUAAUCGGAAUUACUGGGCGUAAAGGGUGCGCAGGCGGAUAUGUAAGUUAGAUGUGAAAUCCCCGAGCUUAACUUGGGAAUGGCAUUUAAGACUGCAUGUCUAGAGUUUGUCAGAGGGGGGUAGAAUUCCAAGUGUAGCAGUGAAAUGCGUAGAGAUUUGGAGGAAUACCGGUGGCGAAGGCGACCCCCUGGGAUAAAACUGACGCUCAGGCACGAAAGCGUGGGUAGCAAAC
rnacentral:rRNA from 1 species